AACGAUGACGGUGGUGCUUGCACCGCCUGAUUAGUGGCGAACGGGUGAGUAACACGUGAGUAACCUGCCCUCCACUUCGGGAUAACCUCGGGAAAUCGUGGCUAAUACCGGAUAUGAGCACUCAUCGCAUGGUGGGUGCUGGAAAGAUUUAUCGGUGGGGGAUGGACUCGCGGCCUAUCAGUUUGUUGGUGAGGUGAUGGCUCACCAAGACGAUGACGGGUAGCCGGCCUGAGAGGGCGACCGGCCACACUGGGACUGAGACACGGCCCAGACUCCUACGGGAGGCAGCAGUGGGGAAUAUUGCACAAUGGGCGAAAGCCUGAUGCAGCGACGCCGCGUGGGGGAUGACGGCCUUCGGGUUGUAAACCCCUUUCAGUAGGGAAGAAGCGAGAGUGACGGUACCUGCAGAAGAAGCGCCGGCUAACUACGUGCCAGCAGCCGCGGUAAUACGUAGGGCGCAAGCGUUGUCCGGAAUUAUUGGGCGUAAAGAGCUUGUAGGUGGCUUGUCGCGUCUGCCGUGAAAACCCGAGGCUCAACCUCGGGCGUGCGGUGGGUACGGGCAGGCUAGAGUGUGGUAGGGGAGACUGGAACUCCUGGUGUAGCGGUGAAAUGCGCAGAUAUCAGGAAGAACACCGAUGGCGAAGGCAGGUCUCUGGGCCAUUACUGACACUGAGAAGCGAAAGCAUGGGUAGCGAACAGGAUUAGAUACCCUGGUAGUCCAUGCCGUAAACGUUGGGCACUAGGUGUGGGGGA
rnacentral:rRNA from 1 species